GAUGAACGCUAGCGGCAGGCCUAACACAUGCAAGUCGAGGGAGAAGCCCUUUCGGGGGCAGACACCGGCGCACGGGUGCGUAACGCGUAUGCAACCUACCUUUCACAGGGGGAUAGCCCGAAGAAAUUUGGAUUAAUACCCCAUAAUAUUAUUGGAUGGCAUCAUUUGAUUAUUAAAACUGCGGUGGUGAAAGAUGGGCAUGCGUCCUAUUAGCUAGUUGGAGUGGUAACGGCACCCCAAGGCUACGAUAGGUAGGGGUCCUGAGAGGGCGAUCCCCCACACUGGUACUGAGACAGGGACCAGACGCCUACGGGAGGCAGCAGUGAGGAAUAUUGGUCAAUGAUCGGAAGACUGAACCAGCCAUGCCGCGUGCAGGAAGAAUGCCUUAUGGGAUGUAAACUGCUUUUAUAUGGGAAGAAUAAGGCGUACGUGUACGUUGAUGACGGUACCAGAUGAAUAAGCAUCGGCUAACUCCGUG
rnacentral:rRNA from 1 species